rnacentral:lncRNA from 1 species
UGAAGCUCCUGAACUCCUAAUCUGGAGGGUUUUCCUGUGAAAUCUGUCGCAUGGUUUAUUGAAAUGUUUACUGAGUUUCUUUGGAAAUGUCCUCACACCAGUCUCCUGAGGACAGUGACGUACUCGCAGCAGACGGAUGUUUGAAAUCAAAUCUGGACUGACAGUGAGGAAGUCGAUCUUUCUUCUCCUUUUCUUCUUCUUCUCUGGCAGCAGACUGACGGAGCAGCUGUCGAGAGUUUCAGAUUAAAGCUCAGAGGGUGAAGUUAUUCCUCUUUUUCUAAAGAACUCAGUCUGCACUGUGAAUUUAACUCUGUUAGUCUGGGUAACCACGGACAGUAAACUCAGCGUCCAAACCAAAAUCAAACAGCUGAUUGGAGUCGGUUUGGUUGUUGGUUUGUGGGUCUGUUAAUGGUUUUGUUUGUAAGCUGAGGAAGUCUUUGGUUUGUCUGUUUGGUUGGUUGGUGGAAAGCUUGGGUUUCAUAAUUAGUGAGUUGAGUUAGUCAUUGGUUGGUUGUUAAAGGUGGUGUAGUCAGAAUCUGAGGUAGUUCCAGUUUUCAGGAGAAACCUUGAAUGCCAACCAGUUUUCCCCUCAGCUCCUCCCCUCCCCUCAAGCCCCGCCCACAAACAGACGCUCCUGCUCGCUCGUAUCGUUCCAAUUAAAUUCAGAUAUAAUGCAGAUCAAUACUUCAGAUCAUUACAAAUGGGGCCCAGUCAAGGUGAAAGUAAAAAGCAUUGGUGCUACUGUAGAUGCCAACAGACUACCAGCAAACACAAUGUUUGCAGGACUUCUACAACGAGGAUAAAGUGACAUAGUCCAGGACCCGAGGGAGGACAGUUUAGCGAUGGCGCUACAACACGCUACAGCAGGUCCGUUUGACAAGAAACACUUCUGUUACAGACACUUGUCUUACUUUGUUAAAGCGGUUUACCUGUCCAGCAGAAAGGUUACAGGGUCACCAAGAUCCCCAAGCGUCCCCCAUGGUUUAUGUUGACCCGGCUUUUUAGCUCUUGUCCGCUCUACCUCCGUUUUAAGCGCCCGUUAUUCCUCCAGAGUCUCCGGUAUUUACUUUGUUUUCUUGCUUGUGUCGGCAGUCGUGGCCAAAAGAGGAUUCAGACAAUUUUCCGAACUUUCUGGUUGGUUUCUACUGUCCGAUAUUGUAGCACGCUAACUUUGUUUGGGCUCCUGAACGACACGGGGGAGCAGCGUCUGCCUCACAACCAAUCAGGUUAGAGGAGGUGGAGAACGGCUUUAUUUACAGUCAGAAAGAGCGGACCGCUCAAAAAUGUUCAAAUGUUGACGACACAGACAUAAGAGAACACAGAGAUAUCGAUAUAUUACCAAAUGUCAUCAAUAACUAAUAACUAUUGACUGAUAUUUAAAGAUUUUUUGUUUAAAAACCACAAAAUAAAAAGAUGCUUCUUUAACAGAUUCCUGUCUACUCCACCUUUAAGUCGGUUUUCUUCUUGUGGACCAGACUUCUUUCCUUAGACUAGAGAUCAGCUGGACUCUCUCAUAUGAACACUGAGUUCUUGUUGCUGAUGUGGAUCUGUGUGAGUCUGAGUGUGUUUGUGUUUUGCUGCCAUUCUUGGUCAGGACCCCCCCUGAAAAAGAGAUUGAUGAUCUCAACAGGACUAGUCUGGUUACAUCAAAUCAAAAAGACACACAACCUGCCUCCUGUCUUUGUCCUCUACAGAAAACCUGAUCCAGCUGCAGGACUCACAUCUGGGACAUGUAAGACCACAUGGAUCCAUGACACUGACGGAGCGGUAACAUGACAUCCAGCAGAAACAGACACAAUAAAGACAAACAGACGAGGUGAUUUCAGUGACUCAGUUUGAGGAUUUUUAUGAUUUUUUUACCCACAAUCAGAGACUUGACCACAAUCUGAGCUGAGUCAGAAACAUCCAAACAGUGGGACUAAUAAAUGUGAUUAUUAUUAUUAGAGUGAUUGAAAAGCUCAUAACAACAUGUAGAUCUGUCCAAAGUCUGAUUCUAGAUGUCUUUACAAACACACUGAUCCAACAGAAGCAGACAGAAAUAUCCAUCGAUCACAUGAACACAAAUAUUCAGCAAACAGAGAAAGAAACAGAUCAUCUGAAGAGUUUUUGGGGACGACUGGAAAGACUUUAGACGCUUGGAUUUGGGACAGGAAAUAAGGUCGUCCUUUUUCUGUGAUUUUGACCUCACUUUUUUCUAAAGUCUCAGACCUUCAACAUCUGCACCAACUGAAGGUGAUUUGAACAAACCAUCAUCUUGAUGUUGUUGAUAUCAAACUGUAUGAAGAUUUUUCAACAUGAGAAAUACAAACAAUCAAAGUUCUCCACAAUCACUGUCCUUAAAGCUGCGACCAAAUCAGCAUCUUUAGAAAAGAAUCAAAAAGCUGAAAUGAAGAACUAAACCCAGAGUUUUUGGUGAGACUGAUCCACAAACAUUUACAAACCAGAACAUUUCAAGAGUUCAAGGAUCUCAGUCCAUGAUUUUGGUCUGAUGGACUCAAAAUUCUCUUUAGUUCACUUCUAUAAACUCAGCAGAGUCUCCAACAGACCAGCCUAACCCCAGUCCAGCAUGUAGAGGUUCAGUGAAUGUGGUCUGGACUCUGUGGAGGAGAGUCAUGGUUUCAGAGACGCUGUAGAAGGACAGAAUACCUGCUCUGUGAUCCAGGUACACUCCUACUCUGGAGGACGGAGGACCUGAGACAUCAGUGAGGACUUUGUUGUGACCAAAUUGAUAACUGUGUUUAUCACAGUCUAACCUCCAAGAUUUGUCAUUUUCUCCAAAUACACAAUCCUCUGAGUCUCCGUCUCUCCUGAUAGUCUUGUAUGCGACUGCUACAAUAACCCCGCCCCCUCUCCAGUCCACCUCCCAGUAACAACGUCCAGUCAGACUCUCUCUACUCAGGACCUGAAGAUAAUCAGUGAAUCUGUCUGGAUGAUCAGGAUAAGACUGUUCUUCUGCUGUCACUGUUGCUCUUCUGUUUCCAUCAGAUAAUAACAGCUCUCUGUUUACUGUGUUUGGAUCCAGUGUGAUUCUUCGUGAAUAUCUUAAGAAACCAGCUCUGGUCUUGGGUUCUGCUGGUUCUGGUUCUGGUCGUUCUGACAGUAAAACAUCCACUUCAGUCACUGCCUGUGAGACGUUUGUCCACGUCUCUGUCAGAAGAUCCUGGAGUUUAUCUCUGAGCUCUGACACAGCUGCUGUCACCUCCUCAAAGUAUCUCAGAGGACGGAUGUUGAUCCUGGAUGAGUCUGCAGGUUGACCCGGUUCUGACAGUGAGGGGUAGCUGUGCAGAAACUGGUUGUGGUCCUCUGUGAGUGAGAGCUUCUGCAGAUCAGCGUCUUUCCUCUUCAGCUCAGUGAUCUCCUGCUCCAGUUUCUCCUGAAGGUCUUUGACUCGACUCACUUCACGUUCCUGCUGGGAUCUGACCUGCUGCUCCACCUCAGAGCGGCGUUUCUCCAUCAGACGGAUCAGCUGGCUGAAGAUCUCCUGGCUGUGCUCCACAGCUUUAUCAGCAGAGCCGUUGAUAGCCUCCACCUCCUGUUGGAGCAGCUUCACAUCUUCUUCUCUGUCCUGGAUUCUCUGCUGGAUGUUUUCUCGACCCUCCUCCAGAUCUUUCUGCCUCUCAGUCCUUUCUGCUGCAGCUGAGACUGUGUCGUGACCUUUGUGUUGGUCCAAACAGCAGAGAUAACAGAUGGACUUCUGAUCAGUGCGGCAGAACAUCUUCAUCACCUCAUCAUGACGAGAGCAGAUUUUCUCCUGGAGCUUCUUGGAGGGCUCCACCAGCUUGUGUUUCUUAAAUGGAGUAACUUCAAAAUGAGGCUGGAGGUGAAUCUGACAGUAAGAAGCCAAACAUUGAAGACAGGACUUGACAGCUUUCAGUUUUCUCCCACUGCAGAAAUCACAGGCCACAUCUUCAGGUCCAGCCUCAGAGGAACCAUCAGGAGCAGCUUGGAGUCCGCUCUUCUUCACUUCCUCCACUAAACCUGCUAACAUGGUGUUUUUCUUCAGGACAGGCCUCGGUCUGAAGGUCUCUCUGCACUGAGGACAGCUGUAGAUCCUCCUCUCAUCCUCAGUAUCCCAGUAGGAUUGAAUACAGCUCAUGCAGAAGCUGUGUCCACAGGUGACAGUCACCGGAUCCUUCAGAAGAUCCAAACAGAUGGAACAAGAGAAAGACUCACGGUCCAGAUGAACUCCUUUCUGCGCCAUUUCAACACUCGCUGUCGACGACGACGACUGACUGAGUUUCAUUUCCUGAGAAGUGAAACUAGUCUGAGCUCUGAUCUCAACAACAUGUGCGUCAGCAGGAUAUGACCUCAGCACACGACGGUUACACCCAACCAAGACUGUAGAACUGAGGGGGAGGGAGGAAGGAAGGGGAGGAAACAAGGAAGUGAGAGUGCAGAGUGGAGUGAGCUGUGAGAGACAGUGAGUGCAGAGUGGAGUGAGCUGUGAGAGACGGGGGGGGGGGGGACCAGUUUAUCUACAAUCCAGGAAGAGGAGCGUCUCUGUGAACUUUAGACUCUCAAACUCCAACAAGCAGAAGUUCUUAAAGCUGCAGCCGUCCUGAAGAUCGCUGCUCGCUUGUAUCGUUCCAAUUAAAUUCAGAUAUAAUGCAGAUCAAUACUUCAGAUCAUUACAAAUGGGGCCCAGUCAAGGUGAAAGUCAAAAGCAUUGGUGCUACUGUAGAUGCCAACAGACUACCAGCAAACACAAUGUUUGCAGGACUUCUACAACGAGGAUAAAGUGACAUAGUCCAGGACCCGAGGGAGGACAGUUUAGCGAUGGCGCUACAACACGCUACAGCAGGUCCGUUUGACAAGAAACACUUCUGUUACAGACACUUGUCUUACUUUGUUAAAGCGGUUUACCUGUCCAGCAGAAAGGUUACAGGGUCACCAAGAUCCCCAAGCGUCCCCCAUCGUUUAUGUUGACCCGGCUUUUUAGCUCUUGUCCGGUCUACCUCCGUUUUAAGCGCCCGUUAUUCCUCCAGAGUCUCCGGUAUUUACUUUGUUUUCUUGCUUGUGUCGGCAGUCGUGGCCAAAGGAGGAUUCAGACAAUUUUCCGAACUUUCUGGUUGGUUUCUACUGUCCGAUAUUGUAGCACGCUAACUUUGUUUGGGCUCCUGAACGACACGGGGGAGCAGCGUCUGCCUCACAACCAAUCAGGUUAGAGGAGGUGGAGAACGGCUUUGUUUACAGUCAGAAAGAGCGGACCGCUCAAAAAUGUUCAAAUGUUGACAACACAGACAUAAGAGAACACAGAGAUAUCGAUAUAUUACCAAAUAAUCAAUAACUAAUAACUAUUGACUGAUAUUAAAAGAUUUUUUGUUAAUAAAUUUUGUAAAAAGUUGGGUUGUUUGUUGGGUUGGUAUGUAGUUUUUUGGUUAGUUGGUUGUUUCUGGUCUUUGACACUCUGAGUGUGUCUUUGGGCUGAAAGUGUGUCACUCUGGAAUAAAUGUCUGUGAACGUGUUGACAAAAACAUCCACCUUUGUCAAUAACGCCUCCUGUGCUGCACCAUUUAAAGCACAGAGGUUCCUCUUUGUGGAGUCCACCCAAGAGGAGGCAUAUAUAUGUGUGUGUGUGUGUGUGUGUGUGUGUGUGUGUGUGUGUGUGUGUGUGUGUGUGUGAGUGUGUUGAAAAACUGCAGUCAGUCAGAGUGUGUUUAUAUUUGCUCCACAACAGACCAAAGAAGUUCUGGAGCUCUAAAUCACACAGCUGCACCUCUUUAUCUUUGCUCUCCCUGAAAAAUAAGACCCUUCGAUCAGACCCUCGCUGGGAAUCGAACAGUGUGCAGCGGUUCAGCGGGUUACAGUGGCGUUUAUGUUUACACUAACCACAGAAAUAUAAGCGUCUGCAUGUUUCUGGGAUUGAUUUUUGUCGCGCUGGGGCCGAACUCUCAAAACAGAAAUGUGUGAGUUCAAGAAAACUUGAGAGUGAAGAUGAUUGAAAGAGAGAGAGAGCGGCUCUGAGGGUCACUUCAUUUACAGCUGACAGACAAACAGAGAGUGAGCGAGGGCUCAGCAGUGAUCCUUCUGAUGCUGCAAACCCCUUUUUUUAUUCUCAGAGCUCCUUACUUUACAUCAAUAAUAUAAAAAAAUACAGUAUAACACAUAUAUAUACUAUAAUAUAAUAUAACGUCAGUGACUUGUUGCUUCCUCUGCCUCUGUGGUUUUGAGAAGACGCUCAGGUUUGAGUAUUUUUUCAUUUACUAGGAUGCUGCUACCUUCAAAAGUCCUGAAAGAGUCAGAUCCACCUGUGAGUGAUGGCGCUGGAGAAAGACGUGACCCCCCCGACAUUUAUGGGAGAUCCAGAUGGCCGACACGCCGCCUGUGAAGUAUUUAGAGCUGAAGUGUGAACCGGCCGACCUCGUCUGGGUUUGUGUCCGACCUGAUCGUUACCGACGGCGUCUGGGUCUGCACUCAUCCUCUUUGAAAAGGAGAGAUGAAUGACUGUACUUUUAACACACACACACACACACACACACACUCUCAGACCCCUGCUGAGCCACCUGCAGGGCUCGGUCUAAUACAAAGUAUGAUUGACAGGUGAUAUUUGGGAGGAUGAGUCAGAGAAGAUGGGAGCUGAAGUCAACAUCAAGAGGAGAGACAAUGAAACUCAGAAACACACACACACACACACAGGGGUAACACUCACUGCAGCUUGAACACACGGUUUAUUAUUUUCCACGUUUUAAAGUUGUUGUUUGACCCUAAAGAGGAUCUUUAUUUUUGUUUUUUAUGCUCUAAAGGUGAAGAAAAAUCAGGUGAAUAAUCUCCAUUCGAAAACUUUUCAUUUAUUGGCAACUACAAAUACUGAGAGUAAAAAUCAAGUGAAUGAAAUGAGACGUUUUUAUUUUUUAAUGUUGACUUUAAGAGUUAGAUAAAUGAUUCUCUGUUGCACCAGUGAGGUCUAAAAUUAGACUCAGACGGAGGAGACAGCUUCAGAGUUUUUACUCUGUCAGAUACACAAG